UCAGGUUUACCAGUUACUGAGGAACAACUCAAGGAGGUGGCAACUGAAUCUGGUGUUUUAAGCAUUCCAGAUGAUUUCCUCACUCUAGAAUUUAGGGAUGAAUGUUUACCAGUUACUGAGGAACAACUCAAGGAGGUGGCAACUGAAUCUGGUGUUUUAAGCAUUCCAGAUGAUUUCCUCACUCUAGAAUUUAGGGAAGAAUGUGAGUGCACGUAUAUAACAUAUCAUCUACUUUUAUAAAACCUUUUUUGCAAAUAUGUCUCUCAUUUUGGAAUAAGCAACAAUCCAGUUAUAUUUCUUAUUUAAUAUAAAACUGUAACAAUGUUAAAAUUAUUGCAAAACUUUUGUUCAGAAUAGCCUCUCAUUUUCUUAUCAGCAACAUUCAAGUCAUAACUUAAUAUGGUAAUAACAUAAGGUAACAACAAAAUCAGAGUUGCCUGUACACUCAGAGUAAAUAAGUACAAAAA